UUUCCGUAGGUGAACCUGCGGAAGGAUCAUUACCGAGCGAGGGUCCUCCAGGUUCGACCUCCCACCCUGUGUUUUUGUGACCUUGUUGUUCUGGCGGGCCCGCCUCGAUGAGAGGCGGCGGGUAGCUCACCGCUUCCGGGCCGUGCCCGCCAGUAGUCAACUUAAAAUCAUAAUAAAACUGUAGGCCGAGUCUAGAAAUAAUAAAAAAAAUCAUCAACAAAGGACCUCUUGGUUCUGGCAACGAUGAAGAAAGCAGAAGAUAGGAAGAGCCAACGUCUG
rnacentral:misc_RNA from 1 species